rnacentral:rRNA from 1 species
GGAGUUAGCCGGUGCUUCUUCUGUGAGUGAUGUCCUUCCUGCCGGCUAUUAACCCGCAGGCCUUCUUCCUCACUGAAAGUGCUUUACAACCCGAAGGCCUUCUUCACACACGCGGCAUGGCUGGAUCAGGGUUGCCCCCAUUGUCCAAUAUUCCCCACUGCUGCCUCCCGUAGGAGUCUGGGCCGUGUCUCAGUCCCAGUGUGGCUGAUCAUCCUCUCAGACCAGCUACGGAUCGUCGCCUUGGUGAGCCGUUACCUCACCAACCAGCUAAUCCGACAUAGGCUCAUCCGAUAGCGCGAGGCCCGAAGGUCCCCCGCUUUCCCCCGUAGGGCGUAUGCGGUAUUAGCCUGGGUUUCCCCAGGUUAUCCCCCACUACCGGGCAGAUUCCUAUGCAUUACUCACCCGUCCGCCGCUCGCCACCAGGGAGCAAGCUCCCCGUGCUGCCGCUCGACUUGCAUGUGUUAGACCUGCCGCCAGCGUUCAAUCUGAGCCAGGAUCAAACUCUGA